rnacentral:misc_RNA from 1 species
AAAACUCACCGGAUGUUAGUAUGAGUGAGAAACAUGUUAAAGUCCAGCAAGAGGGAACAAGUGAGAAGCUAAGUAGCAGUUCUCACAAAAGUGUAGAGUACAUCAGAGGAAGUGGCCAGAAUGUGAGUGAAUGUAAGGCUACUGUGAAAUUAAGUGGUGGAAGGAGAAAAUUAAAUGAUCAAAAGAGAUGUAUAAAUACUGAUUCUAGACAUAUUGAUUUAGAGUUGAUGGUAGAAUCUGAGAUUGAAGAAUGUGAGGGAGGACUUUGGGAUGUUGUUGAUGAAACAGGAAAUGGACAGAGAGUGAAUGAGAUACUCAAGCAGGAAACGAA